GGGUACUAGGAAUGUUUGGACCGAAGGGCCCUCCAGGAGACUUUGGGCCGAAAGGCAUUCAGGGGCCUAAAGGGCCUCAAGGCAGCAUGGGUAGAGGGGGUUUAGCUGGACCUGUCGGUGUGAUUGGCCCUACCGGGAGUCCAGGCUCGAGAGGAGAUUCUGGCAACAAAGGAGAAUUGG